rnacentral:lncRNA from 1 species
AACUCUUGACCUCAGGUGAUCCACUCACCUCAGCCUCCCAAAGCGCUAGGAUUACAGGCGUGAGCCACCACGCUGGCCGAUAAUUUUGAUUUGGUAUAUCUGCCCUCCUCCUCCAUUGGGUGAAAGUUUUUUGAGAGUAAUAUAUGAUGUUGACAUAUGAAGCCUGCCUCCCAAAGUGCCUAGGACAAGUUUUUAUUCUUGACUGCUUGUCUUUUAUUUCCUUAUUCCCAGUACCUGGUGGAGCUCUUGAUUCAUAACAAGUGCUAUGUAAAUGCUAAUUGUAUCAAUUAAUAUUACUGCCUACUUGGAGCUUCAAGUCUAAUUUGGGGAAAAUAAAGAGCAACAGAAAAGAGAACACUUGGUCCAACACAUAAAAAGGGUGAUAAUAUUUUAGAGAGUUUGGGUAGACUUGAAUAUUAUUUGUUUAGAACCUGAAUCUCAAGUCUAAGUCUGUAACAAGAUUUCUCUUCCAGAUGAUGAGGAGUCUGAUGAGGAAGCUGUGAAGAAAACCAACAAAUGUGUACUAGUCUGGGAGGGUACAGCCAAAGACCGGAGCUUUGGAGAGAUGAAGUUUAAACAGUGUCCUACAGAGAACAUGGCUCGUGAGCAUUUCAAAAAGCAUGGGGCUGAACACUACUGGGACCUUGCGCUGAGUGAAUCUGUGUUAGAGUCCACUGAUUGAGACUACUGCAAGCCCUUGCCUCUCCUCCCUUGCCUUUGUCUCUUCAGUCCUCUCACUUAUUCUAUUUCCCAACCCCCUCCCACUUGUUUGUGUGAUCUCAGAACUGUGCCAAGCAGACACUGGGACAAAGGGAGAAUAUCUUGCUCCCCUCCUGAGUCAGCCUGGUGUUGCCCUUUAUUCCCCUUAUGUGCAUAUGAUUAAAGAGUUAUUUUUAAA